UUAUUUGUAUUAUUUUUUUAU
rnacentral:piRNA from 1 species